UGGGGAAUCUUGCACAAUGGGGGCAACCCUGAUGCAGCGACGCCGCGUGAGCGAUGAAGCCCUUCGGGGUGUAAAGCUCUUUCGGCAGGAACGAUAAUGACGGUACCUGCAGAAAAAACUGCGGCUAACUACGUGCCAGCAGCCGCGGUAAUACGUAGGCAGAGAGCGUUGUUCGGAGUUACUGGGCGUAAAGAGUGCGUAGACGGUCCUCUAUGUUCGGUGUGAAAUCUCCCGGCUCAACUGGGAGGGUGCGGCGGAAACUGGAGGGCUUGAGUAUGGGAGAGGAAAGCGGAAUUCCUGGUGUAGCGGUGAAAUGCGUAGAUAUCAGGAGGAACACCUGUGGUGUAGACGGCUUUCUGGACCAUGACUGACGCUGAGGCACGAAAGCGUGGGGAGCAAACA
rnacentral:rRNA from 1 species